rnacentral:pre_miRNA from 1 species
UGGUGACGAUGAUGAUGAUGAUGAUGAUGAUGAUGAUGAUGAUGACGACGAGGAGAAGGAGUAGGGGAGGAAGGAAGGAAUAAUAACCAACGUUCACAUUCUUCGCCCAGCUUCUCCACAAAGAGUUUAUCAAUACUCAUCAUCAUCAUCAUCAUCAUCAUCAUCAUCAUCAUCA